rnacentral:lncRNA from 1 species
AUAGCCAUGCCAGUGGGUGGUGGAGAUGGUUGGGAUUGCAGCUGGGGAGAGACAGCUUAUACCUAGCUGGGCAGCUUCCAACAAGUAAAACACAAUUCAAGCAGACAAAAUCUACGCAUGGAUGUGUGGGAGUCACAUGCCUACUACAAGGGAAGAAAGGAGGAGAACCAGCUUCAGUUCUGCACUUCUUGUUCUUCCUGCUACAAUCUAGAGAAGGUAUUUUACUCAUCUCAUUGACACUUCCUCUAUUGGCUCGCAUGGUGGGCUUAGCCCAGAACUGCAGCAUGAGGAAUCAGUUGAGUCAACACCUAACCAAACUGAUUCAAUAUUCUCUCCUCCUAUUUCUCUUCUGGAAAAUGGCGAGAAACAAAUAUUACAAAACGUCCAAGUCGCAACCGUUCGUACGGUCACGUUUGCAACACCGACAUAGCAUAUUUCCUAGGAAGUAGGUGCCUAUGAGCCCAGGGGGACUUUACUUCUGUGUAAAUCUGCAAUCCUAAUCCCGUUUACCUGCAACUGGGAGUAAAUGUCUCAGAAUUCAAUAUGACUUAAUUAAUGGCUGUGGUAGCAGAGCAACCCAUAAAUGCAAAGUUACUUAUACAUUGAGGGCAAGUGAGAAAUUGUAUGAGUUAAUUCUGAGUAGAUAUGGUUAGGACUGACUAAGAAAUGACUGUGUUAGUCAGCAUUUUAAUUAGCAAUAAUUUAAAGCAAAGCAAAACAACUUGUUUAUUAAGAUGACUUUGGGCACACCCAAAAGGGAUUGCUGAUUUUGCCGGGUCCCUUAUAACACCUUGAAGAGAGGCACAUCUUUAAAUUGGGAAAAAGGAGGAUGGGCAGGUCACAUGGUAGAGGACUGUCCCACUCCUUCCGUUCACCUGUGCAGCAUUUCCUAACAGAAGGGUAAAAGUGGGAUUAAUGCUACUAUCACGGUUGUGAUAAAUUACCAGUGUAACCACUCUGCAUGCAACUCCCAGCACUUUAUGAAACACUAUUUGCCACAACACCAGAUGGGAAGCAAAUUGUACGGUGGGGGGGGGGGAGAGUGAAGUAAUAAUGCUUUUCAGCUGGUGGCCACGGGCAAAGCAAGUAGAAAAACAGGACUUCAGUUUUGUACUUUCAGCCACACCCUCCCUUAGCAUGUCCUGGAUUGCAUUUUCGGUAAACAUCACCCAGAAUAAAUAAUGCAUGCUCCAAUUUACAUAAUCCUACGGGUCUUGGGAUGUGAGUGUGUCGUCGUCUCCCAGUUUUAUAAUUUUGUUAUAACUUGCAAAGAGCAGCGUGAAAAAGGAGUAGCAGUGAAACAAUGGCAGAGAAAGGUUUUGAGAAUACAGAAAAGUAGUUCACUGAAAGGGGGAAGAAGGGGGUGUAACAGAUUUAGGGAAACCAGGGAAUAAUGAUGAUGAUGAUGAUGUUUUAUUUAUAUCCCGCCCUCCCCAGCCAAGACCGGGCUCAGGGCGGCUAACACCAGGUACAGUGGUACCUCAGGUUAAGUACUUAAUUCGUUCCGGAGGUCCAUUCUUAACCUGAAACUGUUCUUAACCUGAAGCACCACUUUAGCUAAUGGGGCCUCCUGCUGCCGCCGCGCCGCCGGAGCACGAUUUCUGUCCUCAUCCUGAGGCAAAGUUCUUAACCCAAGAACUAUGGGGGGGAGGAAAGACAAUGUAUAUACUAUGAUCUCCUCAGUGGAAGAGGUUCUGCCUUGAAAGAGGGAUGAGAGUGUAGUUUGAAUACCCUCCAGGUUCCAUUUCAGGUCUUUUCUUCUUUUCUUCCAGUUGUGUGCUUGCAUACGAAACCAGAAGUGCAGGAGUCUUGAACCCCAUCGUUCAACCCAGACACUGAGGUCCAGUUCCGAGGGCUUUCUGGCGGUUCCCUCACUGCGAGAAGCGAAGUUACAGGGAACCAGGCAGAGGGCCUUCUCAGUAGUGGCGCCCGCCCUGUGGAACACCC